GACGAACGCUGGCGGCGCGCUUAACACAUGCAAGUCGAGCGAUGAAACUUUAACAGAACCCUUCGGGGCGAAGAUAAAGUGGAUUAGCGGCGGACGGGUGAGUAACACGUGAGUAACCUGCCUUAGACAUUGGGAUAACCUCGGGAAACCGGGAUUAAUACCAAAUAAAAUCAUAAUGACACAUGUCAUAACGAUCAAAACUCCGGUGGUCUAAGAUGGACUCGCGUCCCAUUAGCUAGUUGGUAGAGUAAAAGCCUACCAAGGCGACGAUGGGUAGCCGGCCUGAGAGGGUGAACGGCCACAUUGGAACUGAGAAACGGUCCAAACUCCUACGGGAGGCAGCAGUGGGGAAUAUUGCACAAUGGAGGGAACUCUGAUGCAGCGACGCCGCGUGAACGAAGAAGGCUUUCGAGUCGUAAAGUUCUUUUAUAUGGGAAGAUAAUGACGGUACCAUAAGAAAAAGCCCCGGCUAACUACGUG
rnacentral:rRNA from 1 species